GCGGCAGUAGUUCAGUGGUAGAACGCUUCCUUGCCAAGGAAGAGGUCGCCGGUUCGACCCCGGUCUGCCGCUCCA
rnacentral:tRNA from 1 species